GAGUUUGAUCUUGGCUCAGAACGAACGCUGGCGGCAUGCCUAACACAUGCAAGUCGAACGGGAUCCUGGUUUCGGCCAGGUGAGAGUGGCGGACGGGUGAGUAACGCGUGGGAACCUGCCCAGUGGUGGGGGAUAACUGCGGGAAACUGCAGCUAAUACCGCAUGAGCCCGAAAGGGGAAAGAUUCAUCGCCAUUGGAGGGGCCCGCGUUCGAUUAGGUAGUUGGUGGGGUAAUGGCCUACCAAGCCUGCGAUCGAUAGCUGGUCUGAGAGGAUGAUCAGCCACACUGGGACUGAGAUACGGCCCAGACUCCUACGGGAGGCAGCAGUGGGGAAUAUUGGACAAUGGGGCAACCCUGAUCCAGCAAUGCCGCGUGAGUGAUGAAGGCCUUCGGUUGU
rnacentral:rRNA from 1 species